rnacentral:tRNA from 1 species
GGGGUUGUGGCUCAGUGGUAGAGCACUUGCCUAGCACGCACGAGACACUGGGUUCAAUCCUCAGCACCA